UUUUUUUAUUUUUUUAAUUUUAUUUUAUCAGACUAUAUAUUAAACAAAAGUUCUUGUGGUUUUGGGCUAUCCACCGACAUUUCCCCAACCCUCUAAAAAGUUAAUUUUAGCAGAUUGAAGGGUAAAUAAAUACCAGUCUAAGUGGAAGCAACAUGGAGUAAAAUACACAGGGGAAAUUGGAAAAAUAUUUCAAAAAAUUAAUGAAAUUUUUUGAUAAUGAUCCUUCCGCAGGUUCACCUACGGAAA
rnacentral:misc_RNA from 1 species